rnacentral:misc_RNA from 1 species
UUAAGUUCAGCGGGUAGUCCUACUCGAUUUGAGGUCAAGUUGUCAGAGAUUGUCCAAAGACAGUUUAAGAGGCACAGAGCUCCCAAUUAGCCACCCUCUUUCAAGGCGCCGGCGAAGACACUUAUCACGCCGUACUAUGUCCAAUCAGGAGUUGCACUAAUGCAUUUGAGGUGAGCCGCACAGUAGCAGCAGCACCCAAG